rnacentral:rRNA from 1 species
CUACGGGAGGCAGCAGUGGGGAAUUUUGGACAAUGGGCGCAAGCCUGAUCCAGCCAUGCCGCGUGAGUGAAGAAGGCCUUCGGGUUGUAAAGCUCUUUCAGUCGAGAAGAAAAGGCUGCAGUGAAUAACUGUAGUUUAUGACGGUAUCGACAGAAGAAGCACCGGCUAACUACGUGCCAGCAGCCGCGGUAAUACGUAGGGUGCGAGCGUUAAUCGGAAUUACUGGGCGUAAAAGGUGCGCAGGCGGUUUUGUAAGUCAGAUGUGAAAUCCCCGGGCUUAACCUGGGAAUUGCGUUUGAAACUACAAGACUAGAGUGUGGCAGAGGGAGGUGGAAUUCCAUGUGUAGCAGUGAAAUGCGUAGAGAUAUGGAAGAACAUCGAUGGCGAAGGCAGCCUCCUGGGUUAACACUGACGCUCAUGCACGAAAGCGUGGGGAGCAAACAGGAUUAGAUACCCGGGUAGUCC